CCUACGGGUGGCAGCAGUGAGGAAUAUUGGUCAAUGGACGAGAGCCUGAACCAGCCAAGCCGCGUGAAGGAUGAAUGUCCUACGGAUUGUAAACUUCUUUUAUCAGGGAAUAAAACCAGGCACGUGUGCCUUUUUGAGUGUACCUGAUGAAUAAGAAUCGGCUAACUCCGUGCCAGCAGCCGCGGUAAUACGGAGGAUUCGAGCGUUAUCCGGAUUUAUUGGGUUUAAAGGGAGCGGAGGUGGGUUGUUAAGUCAGUGGUUAAAGGUCGUGGCUUAACCGUAGAAUUGCAGUUGAUACUGGCAGUCUUGAGUAGAGUAGAGGUACGCGGAAUGCGUGGUGUAGCGGUGAAAUGCUUAGAUAUCACGAAGAACCCCGAUUGCGAAGGCAGCUUACUGACCCGUCACUGACACUGAGGCUCGAAAGUGUGGGUAUCAAACAGGAUUAGAUACCCCUGUAGUC
rnacentral:rRNA from 1 species